UCUGGCUAUGCCCCCACCCCACUGCAUAAGGUCUCGCUACACCCCCACCCCACUGUAGAAAGUCUGGCUACGCCCCCGACCCGCUGUAGAAGGUCUGGCUACGCCCCCACCCCACUGUAUAAGGUCUGGCUACGCCCCCGACCCGCUGUAGAAGGUCUGGCUACGCCCCCACCCCACUGUAUAAGGUCUGGCUACGCCCCCACCCCACUGUAGAAGGUCUGGCUACGCCCCCGGCCCGCUGUAGAAGGUCUGGCUACGCCCCCGCCCCGCUGUAUAAGGUCUGGCUACGUCUUCGACCCACUGUAGAAGGUAUGGCUACGCCCCCCGCCCCGCUGUAUAAGGUCUGGCUACGCCCCCGCCCCGCUGUAUAAGGUCUGGCUACGCCCCCGCCCCGCUGUAGAAGGUCUGGCUACGCCCCCGCUCCGCUGUAGAAGGUCUGGCUACGCCCCCGCCCCGCUGUAUAAGGUCUGGCUACGUCUUCGACCCACUGUAUAAGGUCUGGCUA